UACGAAGGGUGCAAGCGUUACUCGGAAUUACUGGGCGUAAAGCGUGCGUAGGUGGUUCGUUAAGUCUGAUGUGAAAGCCCUGGGCUCAACCUGGGAAUGGCAUUGGAAACUGGCGACCUAGAGUGCGGUAGAGGGUAGUGGAAUUCCCGGUGUAGCAGUGAAAUGCGUAGAUAUUGGGAAGAACACCGGUGGCGAAGGCGGCUCUCUGGACCGAUACUGACGCUGAGGCGCGAAAGCGUGGGGAGCAAACAGG
rnacentral:rRNA from 1 species